UGUUUUCUUAUUACCCUUUAUGUAAGGUCUUAUUAAUUGUCAGUUUGUUUUGAAUUAUUUUAUUAGAGUGAUUUUUUGUAAAAUCAGGAGGGGAGUGUAGUGCCCCGGAAUUAAUCUUUCCGGAUUUGUUGGUUUUUACCUUACUUUUAUUGUUUACCGGAAACGAUCUAAGGCAUCAGUGCCAACCUCGUGGGUUCCAGAACCCAGCUUAUUUUACUGCAUUUAAAGCCACCUAUGAAUUUUUCACCCUCUCCGGGGGUUUGGAUGCAAUAAACUCAUUCAACAUUGCACAACA